rnacentral:rRNA from 1 species
UACGGGGGGGGCAAGCGUUGUUCGGAAUUACUGGGCGUAAAGGGCCCGUAGGCGGCCAACUAAGUCAGACGUGAAAUCCCUCGGCUUAACCGGGGAACUGCGUCUGAUACUGGAUGGCUUGAGUUUGGGAGAGGGGUGCGGAAUUCCAGGUGUAGCGGUGAAAUGCGUAGAUAUCUGGAGGAACACCGGUGGCGAAGGCGGCAUCCUGGACCAACACUGACGCUGAGGAGCGAAAGCCAGGGGAGCAAACGGG